GGUAAAAUGACCGAGUGUUUUAGGUAUUAAACUGUAAAUUUAAUAACGAAGUGAUAUCUUCUUUUACCA
rnacentral:tRNA from 1 species